CUGCUUCCCACAGUCUCUUCUGAAGCCAAAGAGGCAAAGCCUGUUCCUGAUGAGACCGAUGACAUGAAUCCUCCACUGCAGCUUCAUGUAAUGCCGUUCAUUGAUUAGAAGAAAGCCUGAAGUUCAUUCUGAAGUUGCUUGCUAACAGCUUAAAACAACAGGAGCAACAUGAUUAAAAUGCUGUGCAGCAGUGUGGUCCUCCAUGUAGGUUUGAUCACCAGGCUCCCAUUUUUCUCAGCCCUAGGGUAGCCACACCAGGACAAGACAGAAGAUGGCACUCGAACAGCACCAGAUGAACAACCAUCAUGCUUAACACCUCCAACAGGGGCGAGAGUUAUAAUCGGAGCAAAUAAAAAAAAACCAAAACCAGGAAAAACUGGACAGCCACUCAACCAGAGGAAUAAGCAUCUGUGGAGUACUUGACACAAUCCUUGGAAGCGAUGCAUCACCACCCAGCUGUUCCAUGGCAGUUUUCAAGUCACA